CCGUCCUCCUCCAGCCGACAGCCGUCCUCCUUCGGCCGUUCUUCACAGAAAUUGUGCAUCAAUCAACUUCUUAAAGCAAAUUGUGAUUUGUGAAUUAGAUGAUAUAGAAUUUUGAAAUAUAGCUUAUGGAAAUGUAAAAGACAUUGUGCAAUGGAGAAUUUUGAUUUUGAAUCUUGUUUUAAGCACACCAUAUGCCAAACUGAUCAACAACACUAGGACAACAAUGAUCCACAUAAAUCAUGCCUGAUGGCAUCAAUCAACUUCUUAAAGCAA